rnacentral:rRNA from 1 species
AUUGAACGCUGGCGGCAGGCCUAACACAUGCAAGUCGAACGAGCGUCGGACGGGGGAGUAAUAUAUGGGGACUGCCCGUUAUAGGGGGGUAACUCCUGGAGACAGUAUCUAAUACCCCAUACUAUCUGAGAGCCCAUAUGGGGUUAGCUAGUAGGUGGGGUAAUGGCUCACCUAGGCGACGAUCCCUAGCUGGUCUGAGAGGAUGAUCAGCCACACUGGAACUGAGACACGGCCCAGACUCCUACGGAGGCAGCAGUGGGGAAUAUUGCACAAUGGGCGCAAGCCUGAUGCAGCCAUGCCGCGUGUAUGAAGAAGGCCUUCGGGUUGUAAAGUACUUUCAGUCGGGAGGCGGUACCGGCAGAAGAAGCACCGGCUAACUCCGUGCCAGCAGCCGCGGUAAUUC